rnacentral:rRNA from 1 species
AACGAACGCUGGCGGCGCGCCUAAUACAUGCAAGUCGAGCGAGAAGACGUAGCAAUACGUUUGUAAAGCGGCGAACGGGUGAGGAAUACAUGGGUAACCUACCCUCGAGUGGGGAAUAACUAGCCGAAAGGUUAGCUAAUACCGCGUACGCUCCUUGGACUUCGGUUCAGGGAGGAAAGCGAUACCGUGGGUAUCGCGCUCUUGGAUGGGCUCAUGUCCUAUCAGCUUGUUGGUGAGGUAACGGCUCACCAAGGCUUCGACGGGUAGCUGGUCUGAGAGGACGACCAGCCACACGGGGACUGAGACACGGCCCCGACUCCUACGGGAGGGCAGCAGUGGGGAAUUUUCCGCAAUGGGCGAAAGCCUGACGGAGUGACGCCGCGUGUGGGACGAAGGCCUUC